UGCGAAAUGUCAUGAAUCUGUCAAAGUGGACUGACACAGCAUCUCUAUUGUUCGUUAUGUUUAUGUUUACUUUAUGCUGUGCAGUCGGGUAAAACUUGAACGAAGUGCUAAAGUUUGUAAAGUGGCCUUUUCUGAUGUAUUCGUGGUGAAUGGAUCCAUCCAUUCUUGGGUUUUUGGCCAAUGCGACGGCAAUCUUUACAAGGAAAGAUUGGUCCAUUGCCACCCAUAAAGUUCCCGGGACAACCGUGAUGAACAUCUUGGCUCUGCAAGAUGCAAUCAGACUUGGCCGAUUUCUACAGUGGGCAAUCCCCUCACAGGCACUCCACAGGUGGGGAAGAUGAGGAAACUUGUUCACCCCUCGCUUCUUCCUCCGGUCCUGUCAGCCCUGCUAUGGAUCCCCGAAUAUAUUGAAGGUAAGUUGGAUCUAAUUUUCCACGCAUGCUAGCCUUUCUUACGACCGAUCGGAGUCUUUCAUCCGUCGGUCCGACUAAUCUAGGACUAACA